AGCCAGAGAUGCCAAGAAAGAAAGAUGAUUGCAGCAAAGAAUGUGUUGGUGCAGAAGGAGAGUGGUUUCUUACUCUAAAUUUCAGUGAUGAUAAACUUGCAAACCUCUUCUGCCUAGCAUCAUGUCCUUCAUUCAGCCUGUGCAUCACAACACGUAGCAAUGGACAAAUAGCCACUAAAAUUCCACCCGUGAAGCACAGCACCAAAGAGAAUCAACAGCUUUCUCGUAGUUUUUGAAGGAAUCAGGAACAGGGAACAUUUUGAACAAACUAUAAUCAAGAUUGCGGUGGCAUUAAACACAUACACAGCAUGAGCAUUGUUUCAUCCCAGUCAGUAGGACAAAUCUUAUUCCCGUAUCAAAAUGAACAGAGCAACUGAUAAGCAGGAGCUACUCAGGAAUCAUGAGGCAAAACAAUUUUGGGUUUCAUCCACUGAAGGAAGUGAGAAAUCUUUUGAGACUCUCAGGUUGGGCCUAUUUAAGACCUCCUGAGUUUAGCCACUGUCUUCAGGGAGAGCAGGAUUGGUCCCAAAGCACAUUCUAUCUAUCUCAGGCUCCAGCCUCCACCCAGACGCACUUGACACCUGCCUACGAAGGGCACCCAGGAAAUCUUUCCCCACUCGCAAGAACUGUCUGUGUAUGAAACAAGGAGACCUCACUAAGUUGGUUGUCGGUGGUUAGCUAAAUCCCAGAGUUCAGGUUGGUCUGUCUCGAGUCCAGCCAUUAAGGGAAGUGCUUCUUGAUCCAGAGCUGAAGUGCCACCUACCUAAUCCAGCUGUGAUGAUUUCAGCUUUACUGGUGCAGGAUAGGGGGCCCGCAUUCAGUUGUUGCUGGCUCUGCAGCAAAAGCCAUCUGGAACUGCAUUUAUUUCCUCUUGUCCAUUAAACCACAGCAGACCUCAUUUCCCCACCCAUGCCUCAAUUUCU